UGAAGAAGGCCUUCGGGUUGUAAAGCUCUUUCGGACAGAAAGAAAUCGCAUUGGUAAAUAAUCAGUGCGGAUGACGGUACUGUAAGAAGAAGCACCGGCUAACUACGUGCCAGCAGCCGCGGUAAUACGUAGGGUGCGAGCGUUAAUCGGAAUUACUGGGCGUAAAGCGUGCGCAGGCGGUUGCAUAAGACAGAUGUGAAAUCCCCGGGCUUAACCUGGGAACUGCGUUUGUGACUGUGUAACUGGAGUACGGCAGAGGGGGGUGGAAUUCCUGGUGUAGCAGUGAAAUGCGUAGAUAUCAGGAGGAACACCGAUGGCGAAGGCAGCCCCCUGGGCCUGUACUGACGCUCAUGCACGAAAGCGUGGGGAGCAAACAGGAUUAGAUACCCUGGUAGUCCACGCCCUAAACGAUGUCGACUANUUGUUCGNNAAUCUGACUUCUUGAGUAACGAAUCUA
rnacentral:rRNA from 1 species